rnacentral:rRNA from 1 species
UACGUAGGUGGCAAGCGUUACUCGGAAUCACUAGGCGUAAAGCGCACGUAGGCGGUUCGGUAAGUCUUUUGUGAAAGCUCCUGGCUCAACUGGGAGAGGUCAAAGGAAACUACCGGGCUAGAGUUUGGUAGGGGAUACUGGAAUUCCUGGUGUAGCGGUGAAAUGCGUAGAUAUCAGGAGGAACACCAGUGGCGAAGGCGGUGCUCUGGGCCGGAACUGACGCUGAGGAGCGAAAGCGUGGGGAGCAAACAGG